CGGAACACAUAUACACGCGAACUUGCUUAGCAGGGGAACCCCAACUUUCGUGCAGUACCUCGUCUGCUUCUCUUGCCGCACGCAUUCCUUCUUCACCCCCUCCCACACUCGCACACUCUUGGACUCCCCUUGUGCUUUCUGCUCUUGUUUCUCGAGGCAAUCGUUGACGGGACUAUACAUAUCUAUAUCUCUAUAGAUAUAGUGCUGCAUCGCCUCUUUCGCUGACACUUCGCGCGUGCUGAAAGCGUGCUUGCAGAGUGGCUCUGGGGCCUAUUUUCUUUUUUUUCCCAGCCCCCCUCUCCUCCCUCCACGGCCACUCGAAUUCAACAACCAGCUGACGAGCGCGUUGAGGCCGCAGGAAGGGACAGCGAGAGCGGUUCAGCUGUUAGGUCUGCUCUGCCACCACAGACAUCAACGGAGCAAGUCACAGCCGGUAAAAAAAAGGGAGACGAACCGAUCAGCAGAGGAAACAUGGGCAUCAGUGUCUAUUCGCUAAUCUCAGCUGUGGUUCUGUGCCUGAACGCACUGGCCAUCCUCUCGGAGUCGCGGUUCCUCUCGAAGUUUGGGUUGGCCACUCCACAGGCCUUACAAGGGGGCAUCGCUCCACAGCAGGACACCGCCUUCAAUGACAUGGUGCCAUCUUCUUUUGAUGCCGAUUUCAGCUCUAACGGGAACGGCGGUGUCCGCUCUGUCUCGUCCAUGAAGUUGCAGAUUGCUUCUCUUUUGCACUCCAUCCGCCUCCUGAUGCGCUGGCCGCUCAUCUUUGUGAACAUCACGUUGAUCGGCCUUGCGUUGAUCUUCGGCUGAUGAGGGGUACCGCAACAUGGACCACGGACGCAAGCGCGGAAAGGAGACGCGCCUUCUCUUCACACGCGUGCACUCAGCAGCGAAGCGGAAACAGCCAAAAAUCAGAGUAAUAGUUACGCAUCUCAACGUAUCUCAGUGAGGCGCAUGCAGGCGCGCUCUGGUGAACACGCGUAUGCUGUCACCAAUCCAGGUGUGGCAUCUGCCACUUGCUACCUCCUCAUGCACCCCCCCCUCCCCGUGCCCCUUUCGGCCUGUCCUCAUCACCGCCGCUGGCAUGGAUGUCGCGUUUGCUUCCUUACUCUUCCUCUCGCUGGGCUGCGCAUCGGAACAACAACAACGAAAG
rnacentral:misc_RNA from 1 species